rnacentral:tRNA from 1 species
GGCUCGGUAGCUUAGUUGGUAAAGCGCUCGUCUAGCAUACAAGAGUCCUGGAUCCCAGCCGAGCAC